CUACUAUAGUCAUCGCACUCGCCAUACUAACACCGUUAAUCUAUACUGACGUGUGCCACGAUGGACUACGUAACGCUCACCCUCGCCGUAUGUAUCUUUGUUGGCUGUCGAGUCGCUGAAGGAACAAGAAAGGGAAAUACCACAUCUUGUCCAAAGCGUAAUAGCCCAAAGAACCGGACGCCUACAAAGUACACGCUUUAUGAUAGAACCUUCACAGGGAUCGGAGAUGGAAAGAUUCAAGAUUUCCAAAAGAAGCCGUGGCCGCAAACCUUUCAAGAUUUUUGGAAAAACGACGUCGGUAUCUCUCGCGAAGAAGAAAUAAGACGAGGUAGAGCAUUCGUAAGUUUUAUGAAAUACGUGUCGGGUUUAGACGUAAGUGAGCUGACUGAUGACCAGAUUGCUAACGGUGAUAAAGUUGAUUUCGGGGACUUUGUGUUCGACGCAUUUUUCAUCGACUCUGAGGUCAGGCUUCUUACUGAAACGUCACAAACUCGUGCUAAAUUCUUCAGGAACUCCCCAAUCAAAAUCGGAGGCUUUAAUAUUAUUUUCAAGAAAGAAGUCCCUUCUACUGGUAAAUGGGCUAUGACCUUUCCUGUAAACGCCUCGAUUUUCAUCGCGACACUAGUAGUCAACGGGUACGACGAAUGUGGACUCAGCGAGGAGCCAGAUAUACUUACCUAUGUUCCCCUCAUACCAUACGUUGUCGAAGAUGGCCUAUGUCGACUAUACUGCGAGGUGUAUUCCAAGAAGUACGGAAUUGGAAUAAUGCAUGGCCUUGAAUCGUUAAUGCCAAAGUCCUCGCCAACGUCUUACCAAAUGGCCGCAACGACCCGUUUUCCAGUUAAAGAACAAAUUUAUGAUUUGAGGAAAAUUACGAACAUGCCCCUCGAUUUCCUCCCCUAGUUAUACUGUAAAAAAGUUUAGUCACACGUUUUAUGAGAACUUAUACAUGAACACGUAGAAUUAUGGUAUUGGGCAUUCGGGCCUCGGUCCAAUAUUUCACUAUAUUGCCCUUCGAAAUGACGUUAUUGUACCAGUAGUUCUCCGUUUGUAUUAAUUUUCCCGAUUGGGUAUCAGCGUAAUAAAGAAGAACGUUGUAACAUGGUUAAGACGAUUGCAGUUUAAUCCAAAGGUUAGGCAUUCAUAUUUAAUAUUUGGCGUUCACAUACAAGUUCUCUUAAAAUGUUACUGACUUGACUUUCUUUAAAUAAAAUGAAUAAUACAAAAUAUGAACUGAAA
rnacentral:misc_RNA from 1 species